GAUGAACGCUGGCGGCGUGCCUAAUACAUGCCAGUCGAGCGAACAGAUGAGGAGCUUGCUCCUCUGACGUUAGCGGCGGACGGGUGAGUAACACGUGGAUAACCUACCUAUAAGACUGGGAUAACUUCGGGAAACCGGAGCUAAUACCGGAUAAUAUAUUGAACCGCAUGAUUCAAUAGUGAAAGACGGUUUUGCUGUCACUUAUAGAUGGAUCCGCGCCGCAUUAGCUAGUUGGUAAGGUAACGGCUUACCAAGGCAACGAUGCGUAGCCGACCUGAGAGGGUGAUCGGCCACACUGGAACUGAGACACGGUCCAGACUCCUACGGGAGGCAGCAGUAGGGAAUCUUCCGCAAUGGGCGAAAGCCUGACGGAGCAACGCCGCGUGAGUGAUGAAGGUCUUCGGAUCGUAAAACUCUGUUAUUAGGGAAGAACAAAUGUGUAAGUAACUAUGCACGUCUUGACGGUACCUAAUCAGAAAGCCACGGCUAACUACGUG
rnacentral:rRNA from 1 species